rnacentral:rRNA from 1 species
UACGGGGGGGGCAAGCGUUGUUCGGAAUUACUGGGCGUAAAGGGCGCGUAGGCGGCCUACUAAGUCGGACGUGAAAUCCCCCGGCUCAACCGAGGAACUGCGUCCGAUACUGGUGGGCUUGAAUCCGGGAGAGGGAUGUGGAAUUCCAGGUGUAGCGGUGAAAUGCGUAGAUAUCUGGAGGAACACCGGUGGCGAAGGCGGCAUCCUGGACCGGUAUUGACGCUGAUGCGCGAAAGCCAGGGGAGCAAACGGG